rnacentral:snRNA from 1 species
UCUGGCAGCGGCCUCUGUCACCCCAUUGAUCGCCAGGGUUGAUUUGUCUGAUCUGGCUGGCUAGGCGGGUGUCCCUC